UACAGAGGGUGCAAACGUUGUUCGGAAUUACUGGGCGUAAAGCGCGUGUAGGCGGUCCGCUAAGUCGACUGUGAAAGCCCGUGGCUCAACCACGGAAGUGCAGUCGAAACUGACGGACUCGAGUCCCGGAGAGGGUGGCGGAAUUCCCAGUGUAGAGGUGAAAUUCGUAGAUAUUGGGAGGAACACCGGUGGCGAAGGCGGCCACCUGGACGGGUACUGACGCUGAGACGCGAAAGCGUGGGUAGCAAACAGG
rnacentral:rRNA from 1 species